rnacentral:sRNA from 1 species
UCUCGUGUGUCCCGCGCCGGCCUUGAAUUUGGUCAGUAGCCCAGGAUGACUUCUGAGUUUCUGGUCUUUCUGCAUCUGCCUUCUGAGUGCUGAGAGCAUGGCGCAAGUGCCACCGUAUUGUUUUAUGUGGUACCGAGGAUUAAACUUAGGGCUUUGUACCUGCUAGGUAAGAACUCUAUCAGCUGAGCUAUACCCAAGCCCCAGAAAUAUGCAAGUAAAAAACGUAAACAGGUCCCUAGUGUCAUGAAACACAAUGCAGGAUGUGUGUGUGUGUGUGUGUGUGUGUGUGUGUGUGUGUGUGUGUGUGUGUGUGACCUUUGGUGGGCCCAUUCCAAGGCGUGCCCCCUGAAUGAUUACACUGAGCAACAGGCCUGGUGUAAAAGAGGUUUAUUUGGGGAGGGGAAAAGAGUGAGGAUCUGGGGAAGGGGUAGAGGAGUGUAGAUCCAAGAAGACAGAACAAAGUCAUGAGGGCAGAGAAAGAGAGAGGGAAAGAGAGAGAGAAAGGAGAGAGAGAGAUGAUUUGCACUGACGACAGAAACUGAGGGCAAGGAGAAAUCUGGGAAUGGCUGGAGGCCCUUUUACCACAGCACACACCUGGUGUACCUGGCACACCUGUUGGUGGCAGUAGGUGACAGCAUAAGCAGUUGCUAGGUCUCUGAGGGCAGACCAGCGAAAUCACCUGUGUGCUACCACCUAGUCCAUGAAAAUUCAAACAGAACUUCCUGGUUAGGGUGCGAGCCAAAAGUGUAGCAUUCCCCUAGAUAGGCCCAUGUCUCUUGUUUUCAUUCCAACUGGAAUCAUCUAGCAGGCUUAGAAGCUUCUAGAAGGCGAAGACUGUGGAGAUUUUGCACUGUCGCCUCCCACACUAUGAGCCUGCCGGGCCUGUGAUUUGCAUGUUUAAGGCUUAAAGAGAAGAGGGAAGAAGGGGAGGGAGGAGGAAGAGGGAUGAAGGGAGGGCAAUGUGCAUGAACCCACAUCUGUCUUCUCUCUCCCUUCAAGUGCGACUCAACUCUGGGCACUCCCCACCCCCAGCUACCCUUCUUGCUUGGACCUAGGAGGGAGCCAGACCGGCUCCUCCCCAGACCCUGCCAGCAACUCAUUUGUUCUCAUCCUCCAGGAAGCUGAGCCUGUGGUCUCAAGCGUGGGGGGUUUGAAGGCUUCUAAGUUGUUCCUGGGAGUUCUUCCAGUGCAGGAAGUGGGCAGCCCCAUCUGUACACAGAUCCACAACCCCCUUGCCCAUGGAUCAUCAGUGGUCGAUGGUGAAGUUUCCAGGAUACAGAUCCACUUAGAAGCAAGGCUGCAUUUGGUGCCUCACUCCGUCACCAUGCACUUCCUCAAACUGUGGUCAAUGCAUCAACGGCCAUAAGUAUCUGGUAAGCUCUGUGUGUCUUUGACACCGGGCUCUUAUGCUCGAAGCAGAGGAGAUGCUGGCCCUGGCACCUUAGUCCUGGGCAGCCUGAUCCUUCUCUCUCUGUCCAGGGUUCUUCCCAAGUGCCCAAGGAUAGCAGCUGCGUGCUGGCUAGAGCCCACAUCUGGAAAUCAUUCUCUUCAUUCAAUUAGUGGCUGUCUCCCAAGCCCCUGCUCCCUUGAUCUUCCAAAGCCCUAUCCUUGCUGCUAACAAGGGUUUUUAAUUUGUUCGUUACAUUCCUUCCCAUUAGGCCUCCCGGCCUCUGCCCACCCUGGACCAGGUUGGGAGGGGGGAGCCUCAGGGCCCAAGCUCAGAGCUGUCCGUGCUCGGGGUACCCAGGACCUCUCUAGGGCAGCCUCCUCACGAGCUCUGCUCAUCACUCAGCAUCUUUCCUGACACCUUUGAGGAUGCCUAGGAGAUGGUCUGGGGACAGGGCUCCCCUGCCAGAUCCUCUUCUUUCUGUGACAGGCUCUGUGGCCACACAAUCAAUGCAGACAACUCGAUCUGGUAUCAAGGCCCCGUGUAAACCGCAGCCCAUCAAGAGGCAUUUAUUGUCCUGAAAACAAACAGUCCCCUCCCCCAGGCCAGCCAGUCCCAUCUCCACUCCCACUUGGGUACCCUUCUUCUGUCCUUGGAGCAGCUCAGACUGACUAAUCCCGGCAUCACUUCCUUUGCAUUCCGGCCUCUGCCAAGGCCAGACUUGGGUCCACUGUGGGAUAGAAAGCAGGAUGCCAGGGGUCGGUCUGUCUUAGUGAAGAGAGCUUAACUGAGUGGACUCCUGGGUAAGUGUGCUGGGUUGGAUAAAAUUUGCCCCAAAUUAAUGUCCGUGUAAAAGAUCAGCAUGUGACCUCAUUUGGACUUGUGGUCAUCCCGGGUAGGGGGCAUCCUUAGAGAACAGAGGUAUCCCUGGGGGUCCACGUGGAAGAAGGAACCACUCAGAAGCUGUGUAGCUGGCCUAUUAACUUUCUUAUCCUCUAUGGGUUCUAAUGUGCCUCCUUACUAUAGGGGAGCUGUUAAAAUAAGGUCAAGGGUGGGCUUUCCUAGGGGGAUGGGUGGACUUUCAUGAAAUGAUAGUGUCAUAGAGACAGAAAUAGAGAGGCUAAGACAGCCGGAGGCACAAUGCCAACAAAUGGCCCCCGCUGGCCUCCCAAGGGAGCCCACAUCGUCCAUAUCUAUUUUGGACUCCUGGCCUUCAGCACUGCCUCAAGAUACCUGGUUUAUUCCACUCGGAUGAGGUGGCAGACUGUGCAGAUUUGGGAAACUGAGGCUGGGAAUUUGCAAUACAAUUAUCACAAUCACAAACAAGGGCCACUAAUAGCUGUGAGGCUGGACUUAGAGCCUCUGCCUUCCAAGAAUUUCUUGGGAGGCCCAGUGCCCACAAAGCAUAGCAAUUCUGCACAGCAGGCAGGCUCUCAGCCUGGAAGGAGGCUGGGCUUAAGGAGCAGAGCCCACUCCCCACCUCGGUCUCCUCAGAGCCGCACACCACACGCUCCUUAGAUCCACGAAGCCCCCAAGAACGCUCAUCUCGCAGUAUCUAGGAAUCCUGAGUAGUUAGCAGGAUGGCAGUUGCCUGGUAGGUGUUAAUUAAUGACUUUGUGGAUGGGAGAAACCUAUCCAAGUUUUUAUCGGCUCCUGUGCAUAGCUUCGUGUCUCAGAUGUCACGUGGACAUGGAGUUGGACGGCUUCUUCCACUACGCUUCGUCUCGAAAACUGUAAGAAACCCACACAAGGAACCCUCUGUUGGGGCUGGCACACCCAUGGGCAGGAUGUUAGUUUAAAGCAGGGUUUCUCCACCCCAGUACUGCUGGCAACAUGGCCUGAAGUUUAGACCACAGUCUGCUGCAGGGCUGCCCUGUGUCCUACAGGAUCUUCCCAGAAUCCUUGGCCUUUACUCACUUCAUGCAGGGGGUACUCAAUGCUCCUCCCCAAGAUGUAACACCCCAGAGUGUCUGCAGACACUGUAACAUGUCUUCUGGGGAUGCAGAAUGGACACAAAUUCCAGGCUGUUCCCCAAAAGUCUGGAGUUAUCUGGACAUGGGCUUGGAGGAGCAGGGUGUACUCUGGGUCAAGGAGCCAUCGCUUCCCACCAUUAGUGAGCUGCCCUACCAACAGAGCUCCCUGUCUGAGGGUUCCGGGCACAGGCUAGACCACCAUGAAUGAAGUAGACAGAGACGUCUAGCUUUAGAUGGAAGAUUCGUACUAAGUAACUAUGCUCUGUCUGGAAGAUUCCCUGGCGUGAACACGUUGAUGGUGAUGAUGGAAGGUAGGACAUCUGCCUCUCCAGAAGUCAUAGCUACUCACGAGUCUAAAGAGAGCUAACAGUCUGCGGUGAAGAGUCCUGGAACUGAGGACAGCUGGCAACUCAUCUCUAAACCCAGGAGACCUAACCAGGUCAUUCAGCAUGAGUGGUGCAGGAGAAAUGGGGGGUACCAUUAGGGAUUCAGCCCCAGCUCUAACAGGCAGGGUUCUCAGUAAGGUAAGAAGCAUACGGGGGUAGAAAUUAAGAAGACCAUUUUGGGGUGCUGAAGAUUUUGGGGUGCUCACUUGGUCUGGGCUCAUCAGAGACAUCUCAGCAGGAAGUUGACUGUGACAGUGACUUAAGCCAUGGAGGAAGUAUACUUGUGACACCCAUAGUCAUUGGACCACUGCAAGAAGAGGAGAUUCUCAAGAGACAGAGGAGAGUUAACUGGCAAAAGGAUGCUGGAAGACAGGAGUUCUGGGGGGGGGGGUGGUAGGCAAGGAGAGGAAGCACCUGAGGGGAGGGUGGGGAAGCCAUUUGAGGAGCCACUAGAAUUAUGUAUGUGGGGUUCACAGACCGCUUUGACCAACCCUUAAAGGAAGGGCUUGGGUAAGUGGUGAUGGCACUUCCGGGAAGCGUGUAGGAAAGAUACAAGCUGUAGGAAAAAGGUGCUGAUAGAAGAGAGAUUGUGCUGCCAGCAGAGAUCCUGGGGAGUCUAGGGUUUAGGGCACAGGCAAAGGCCCAGGCUACAAGGCACAUGAGUUGGUGUAUGGGCUGGGUGGGUUGGACACAGGCUCCCUGAAGGGCUGCUUUGGACCAUGGAAGACGGGAGCAGACAUGGGGAAGGAGAGGCUGUCUGGAGGGUGGAGGAGAGGAGACCCUUUAGGGAAGGUUCAUCACUAAUAGUUUGUAACCCUCAUUUUGGAUUUUCCUAUGGGUUGGCUUGAUAAGGCCCCGAGGAAGUCUUCUCUGUUAUACAGCGCCACACUAACUAUGUCCGUCAGUCACUUCACACAUGAGCCAAGAGGUCAUGUUCAUCCCUACACCGCUCGCCCUUCAACGCAUGCUCAGUAUUUCAUGGUGAUGAUGUGCUCAGAGUGGAUGGUCUGCUUGCCCAUCUCUUCCCUCAACCUCUACGCUCCCCGCCCAGAUUCUCCAAAGCCUGAUAGAGCUAAAACCCUACUUCCUGCCAGUCCGGCGAGACCACAGACAACUGUGGACUUGCUUUUCUCCUUCCCGAGGUUUAAGAAAAAUAAGAAAACAAUCUACUCAGACAAAACAAAGCAAAUGAGGUGGCCUCGUUGGAGGGCUGAUGAGAUCCAAUUAGCAGAGAUGAGGACUGUGUGGCUUUCCAAGCACAAACAUCUUAUUUAUUUGUGGGGUGCUCGUCAGGGGGUGGCACGGCGAGCAUGCUUCUUGUUAUUACUUUUUUUCAUGCCUCAGCUAACAUGGAUGGACCUUCCCGGGAAAGCCUGCGGUUCUUAGAGGUUGUAAGGGGUUCAGGGAGCUGGACUGGCAGCCCCCAAUCCCCAGGAGACCUGGACAGGUAGAGACUGGGUAGGCUAUGAGAAAACAUCACCAGGGGUGGGUGGCAUGGGUAAGAAAAUAGCAAUAGCUACCCCACACUCGUGCUCGUUCUGUACUGGGUUGUCUGAGGUGCUCCAUUCACGCUCUCUCUCAACCACUGCAUGCAUGGUCAGAUGUCAGGGUCCACCGGGCAUCCAGGGAUGCUUGGGGAGGUGGUGUCAGCUGACUCAAGUGGCUUGAGUGGUGAACGGUGACACUCGUUUCUGGUCACAGAUCUCCCCUAGAGUCAUGCAAGGUACCUUCUUGGAUCACCCAUAUAACCCUGUAUCCCGGGAGGGGAAAGGAAAAGCCAGCGAGUUAGGAGUAGACGCCAUGAGAGGUACCCAGGUUCGGGUUCUGAGUAGGAGCUGGUGGAAGGGUCCUACUGUGGGCUCAAAUCCAUUUUCUAAGUGCCAGGUGGAAGGGCAGGGGACUGGUUGGUGUCAAUGGAAGCUCUCCAGUAUUUGAGGCUCGAGCCAGACUUUGUAGGUAGCCAGGCAGCUGAGGGGGAUGGCUUCUGCAUGUCGUAUCCACUGAGCACUCCUUCUGGGAGUGACCUCUUUUCCUAACGCUUAGUUCCUUAAAACUUUUUACGUUUAUGGGAGUUUUGUGUGCACGUGUGUCUGUACAUGUGUGUGCAGUGCCCUUGGAGCCUAGGAGGUCAUGGGGUCCACUGGAACUGAAGUUAUAGAUGGUGGUGAGCGGCCAUGUGGGUGCUAAGAACAAAGGCUGGGUCCUCUGAAAGAGCAGCCAGUGCUCUUAACCUUUGAGCCGUCUCAUCCAUCUCUACCUUCACACUCUUUAAGAGAUGAGAGGUGUCCCACAGAAGAGGCAAUGACUGAUUCAAGUGCCAAAGAACGGGAGGGGGUGCUAAGUAGCCAAGAGGGCUCCACAGAACCAUCUAGAACUUCAAAAGGAAAGAGGAGUCUGCAACAGGAUCGCCUUGAUGGGAAUGGCCACAGGGGAAAAGGGGCUGAGGGGCCACAGCUGAGACAUAUACUUCCAUUAGUCUGUGCAAUGGCCGGUGGGAGUGUUACUUUACAGUCACUGUGACAAAAUGCCUGAGGCAGCAAACUUGUGAGGGAGAAAGGUUUAUCAUGGCUCAUAUAUUUAGAAGUUUCAGGUGACAGUCACUUGACUUUGCUGCUUCGAGCCUGGAGCUGCACAGAUCAUGGUGGCAGCAUGGGGUGCUAUCCAGGAAGCAGAAAAGAGGAAGGAGCUAGGGUCUUGGUGUCCCCUAGGAUAUACCUCUAAUGACGUAACCUCCUUGCAUCAGUCCCUGCUUCUUAAAGGUCCUACCACCUUCCAGUGGUACCAUGUUCAGUGGCCAAGCCUUUAACGCGUAAGUUUUGGAGGGAACAUUCUACAUCCUUAUUUUAACGCUGCUUUAACAGUUAACUGGCCCCUCCUCAUGCGGAAGGCCACAGCCAUCAAUUUAUUCAUUCAACAAACCUGCAUUUCCCAGGCACUGAUCUGGACAUUAGGGACCCUCCAGUGGACCUCUCGCUGAGACCAAGGUCACCGCCCUUGGGGGUUUAUCUGCCCUCUGGGAGUUAGUCUGGUAGAGCGUGGGAAGGAUCGCCAAUACGGAAGAUAAACAGACCAGUGAUGUAACGUACUAGAGGGUAGUGUGUGCUGUGAAGAGUGUGAAAGCGUCAGGGUCUAGGGCACAGGCAGAGGCACCGGGCACAGGCUGCUGCAUCUGAUAGAGGAAGAAGGUAGGUCCCACUCUAGAGGAUGUGCUCCAAGUCAGAGCCCAGCAGUUUUGGGGGCAGAAGACUCCGGGUAGUACAAUGAGCUGACCGGAAGGCUCUAGAGUAUGGCCACAUAUCAGUGUGACGCUUAGAAGAGGUCAUGUGGCUAGACGUCGAGGCGUGAGGCAGAGGCUCAGAGAAGCAACCGUGGUUAAUAGCUUAGGGCCUCAUAAGCUUUGGCUCUUACUCUAGGCCACCCCAAAAUUAUCUCAUCGCUACUUUGUAGCUGGAUCUUUGCCUACUUUUAUGAAUCGUAAUGUAAUAUAGCUGUGUCUCCUGAUGGCUUUAGGUGACCCCUGUGGAAGAGUCACUUGACCCCCGAAGGUAUUGUGAACCACAGGUUGAGAAGCACUGCCCUAGAGGCUUCCGCUGUCAGCCUGGGGAUCACAAGUUCUAGUUUCGGUUUGGUAAUUUUAGAAUAGUGUGGCUCUGUUGGUAGGAAGCCCUAAAUUAGGUCCACGGAACUGCAUAAAAACCAGCGUGGCUGCACACACCCAUAAUCCCAGUGCUUCAGAGGUAGAGGCGGAAAGGUCAGAUGUUCAGGUUCAUCGUCCACUACGUGAUGAGUUUGAGGUCAGCACGAGCUACCUGAGACUAUGACUCAAACAAACAAACAAACAAACAAACAAACAAAAAACCCACACAAGCCAACAAGCCAACACCCAAACCAGGACAGUUUCAGACCUCACCACAGCAGAUUCAGGGUGAAGGCUUCCUGUCCCCAUCACCCAGUCUCCUGUGUUAAUACCUUGUCUACUGCCGUCCACAGGUAACAACUAGGGAACCAACAACGGUCUGUUAUAUCCCAUCCAUUACACACCAUGUACAUCAGAUGUCCCCAGCUUCCCCGUGGUCUCCUGUCACCUCCUACCUGCUACCCAGAACCCCACACUCAUAUGUUAUAUCUCUCUGAUUUCCCCCACACAGGCCAUUCCUCAGGCAAGUCUAGUCUGUGAUGACCUUGGACCUUCUGAGUUGUAGCAUAUUUGCUAUCAUGCGUCAUGUGCCUUAGUUUGGGGAUUUUGCAGGGGCUGGGGUAUAGAAAACCCAGAUGUAAAGUACUCUGUCAUGUCCCAGAAGGGGACACAAAGUCCUUGUGACUCUUCACAGAUGACAUUAAACCUUGACCACUGGUGAGAUAAGAUUGGCUAGGUUUCUGUACUGUCAAGGUACGUGGCCGAACUCCCUUCCCAUAUGGUGUACUUCUUUAGAAACUAAUGCACGACUGCAGGCCACACUCUGGGUGGAGAGCUGCUUCUUCUUAAGAGGUGACGAUAGUCGCCAUCCAGAAGCAGUCACGGCAGCAGCUCAGGAUCAGACACUGCUGCCUGGCAUCUGGAGGCAGCAAGACAGGGUGCUGAAUUCCAUGUGGGACAUUGGCACAUCCCUGUCUACCGGAUGAUUCCAUUGGUUGCUUGCAGGACAGGGAGGGUGAAGCAGACAAGGAUACCGUAAAGUCCCGGCUUUGGACACACAUGCCGUCACAUCACCCUCUACAAAGCUGAGAAGGCCUAGGGAGGAGAGAGUCUCUCAGGACAAGUGGGAACUUAGAUUAGGCUGGGGCAGUGUGGCCACCCUUUGUGAACAGAAAAUUGGAUGAGUAUAUCCAGAGUUUGACAAUUGGGUCUAGGAGAGAGGGAUGUUGGUAGAAGCCCUGCGCACCGGAGAUCACCAAGGAGAUAUGGAAAGAGGAAAGAGCCAGAUGGGGCCCCAGGAUGCUGUGACAUCAGAGUUUGGACAUCUAGAGAAGCCAGUGAGGGAGGUGCCAAAGCAAGGGUAGGCCAAACAAGGAGAAGACAGUUAAGGGCUGAGCACCAACUCCACAGGGACAGCUUGGUGAGGAGUCUAAGCCUGAGGUAGGACCACAAGAAGGAGGGAAGAGGGAAGCAGGGACAGGAGAAAUCACAGCUUCUUUCUAAAGACGAAAGUUCUGUGCUAUAAAAGCAGCAAAGACCUACAGGGCAGGGAGGUGAGAAAGAGACGGGUAGGCACUAACUAGAAGUAUCCUGAGAUUAGAGAAGCCACAAAACUCAAUUCUACUAAUGGGAGUGAGUACACAGAGGUGACUGUUCUUGUAAUGUGUGUGACAGCGUACCAAGGCUGCUUCACACCUCAAAGCAGGCGAGCAUGGGAAGGAAGCAUGGAAUGGUAGGAUCAAGGUUGGGCUGUCAUAUAAGACUCCCCUGGAUGGUUCCAGAACCUCCUGGGUACAUACAAGGUUCCCCACCAAGAGGAGAGCAUGAGAGCAAUCCAGCAAAGCUUGAGUUGAGCAGCGAGAGCUCUUGAGAAGGCUGCAAGGGAAACCUACCAAGAUAGAGGGUUCCCUGAAUCCUUGCACAUUCCCCUGGCCCUACCAGCCCUGAGAAGAAAGGAAAAGACAACUUCUUCCCUCCUCGUGGCCUCUGGGAAGUACUUUAAAAAACUUAAGUGCUCUGCCCCAAGGGCUCCAGAGGCCAGCCUCGAAACUCCCUGUGGCUAUAUCCUAAACGGUGGUGUGCGUUCUUAAUUGUGCUCAUGUGUUUCUGAGGGAAGGAGCCAAAGGCGUCUGAGGAUACAGAGCCCUCAGAAGACGAAGAGGGACCUGCCAGCCGCUGAGGGUACACCAACAGAGUGUCGUCCCCUACUUCCAAUUUGGAAGCUUCCAGCCCCAUCCCAGACACCGCGGAAAAAGGGGGACCACUCAACCAGCCACGCUGUCACCACCCUGGAUUUUUGUCCCAUCCCACGUCCCAAGAGGCUGCCCAUGUCAAGGACGGCGUGCAUGACUCUCUGUAUCUGGGUCACUGUCUGGGCGUCUGACUCACGGGGCUGCUUCAGUGCUGUCGGGGUGCAGAGCGUGAGAAGAGCAGUCGCACUUGCUGAUUUCCUCAAAGCAGCUGAGUGAGAGGCUGGGCCUGCACGUGGCCUGUGUACAACUGACGGGUGGGUGUGUUUGUGUACAGUGGCAUGCGUCCAAAAGGCUGAGCACAUGCCUGUGUGUGUGCACAUGUGUUCAUGUAUAUGCAGAGGUAUGUGACUGGUGUGUCGGAGGGAGGGGCAAGUGCACACGAGCGGUGGAUGUACCUGGGUGAAGAAAGACAGAAACAUGGAAGGCGACAGAGUGACACUUGUUCCACCUUUCAACUUUAUGGGCAUGAGUAUUUUUUCUUGGGAGAAAAGAGGAGGAUUUGUGAGAAACACGGUACAACUUUUCAAAGAACAUGGAACUGGCUCCCAGUCCUGUGUCUUCUCUGUGGAAUAUGAGGCACUGACUGCCCUGCCAGACAGGGACCCACUGACAUUAUUUGAGAGAUACCCACGUCCCAAGAGCUCAGAGAGGCUAAGUUACAGUCCCAGCUCACAAGCUCUGAGGGACAUAAAAGGCUGGCUUUCUCCUAGGGGAAGGUAGGAGAUUCAGGUUAGCACCCACUCUGUCAUUCAAUGCUGUGAUAUUCCUGAGGGAAUCCCCACUCCCUGGAAAAAAAAUCAUCAUAUAGGAGUGUUGCAGUAAAUUCCCCAACCCAAAUAAACCGUGCAAUGAAAACACAGCUCAAAUACGAGCUGUGCGCCCAGACCGGGCAGAUCCGCCACUGUACUACUCUAUUCCCAGCUGAGAUCCCCGAUAACUUGCGGUUUCUCCAGGCCACGUGCUUCAGCUCCAUCUUCCUCCCACCACCUCCUCCUCUUUCUCCUCUCUCUCCCUCUCCUCCACUCUUCAGCUCCCUCCCCUGCCCAAUCACGGGCUCUGGCCUUUAUUUUACAAGUUAAACCGGGGAGAAGGUUCAGGUGAAGUCACCUGAGUGUGUGAUUUACUCCUUGUCCAAGGCAGCCUCUCUUGGGGAAGUGUAAUUAGCAUCAAAAUACAAACAGCACCAGGGCAACCCACGUAGGAGGGCCCAGUCUAUCUCAGAACCCAGGGCUUUCCUAAGAGGACCAUGGUGGAGCCAAAAUCCUCUCCGUAGCUUGGCCAGGGUCUACUAUGACCGGGGACCCUCCUCAGGACCUCUUCCAGCUGUUUCCUGUGACUACCCUGCUGGAUAACAGGAGCCCUGGGACAGUGUAUAAGAGAAGCCCAACACGGUCCUAGCUGGGUCUAUCUUCUGAGUUUGGUGUUCUCUGCUCACAGGGUUAGUAGAACAUGCACCACGGAGAAAGAGGUAUAAGAUCUGUCAUUACGAGACUGAGUUACUACAGCUCCUAGACGUGUAGAUGUGGCACCUUACAAAUGACCCCUGACUCCCUCACCUGACCCCUGACCCCCUGACCCCUUCACUUUUGCUCGAUUUUGAUUCUUUCAUGGAAAGAGUCACAAGGGUACAUACCAUAUCACAUGAUUCAAUUAAGAAUGUUUCCUGUUCACUUAGCUCUCAAGAAUCCAUCCAGACUACCUACACCCGUGCCCUCAGGACUGGAUCCUUGCCAACUCUGCUUUCCUGUCCCUUUAGCCAACAUCCUGGGAUAUGCUACCAGAGGCCAGGGACAGAGAGAGCUGUCUUCCAGCUUUGGGCUCAGAUGGCUUCUAGGGCUGGACCCGUGUGGGAUCCUCCUCUCCACGUGCUGCUGGUCACAGAGAGUUUAAGUACCGAAGACACCUCCCCCAUCUCAGGAGGGAGCCCACAUUACCCAUCAGCCACCAGGGAAGGCUCCCCACAGUACAGUUGUGAAUUAAACAUGCAGCCUAAUGAGUUGAUUUUAUUAGUUUGCAAACGCAUUGAGAACUCGUUAUCAAAAUAAACAUCAAUUCCUUUCA